GCGUUGCUGCUGCUGCGAAGGACUUUAGUGCUUUUGGGGCUGUGCUGUUGGUCCUUGGGCCAUCGCUCGUUCAGUCGUCGUUGCGUGUUGUAGGUGGCCUGGUCUACUGAGCUCCGUUUGGACUGCUCCUCCUCCAGCUACUACUGCGGCCGCUGCUGCUGCUGCUGCGGCUGCUGCAUGCGCCUGCAACCUGCAACACUCACACCACGGCAACAGAAGUAGACGCGUCGCGUUCAGUCCCCGUCCUACGGCCUAACGUCAUGUCGCGUAGUGUUCGGCCGAGUAAAGCAAGCAGACUGCAAGGUGACUGAACCGAUCCUUAACCCAUCACCUUCCUCUCCCACUCGAGUGCCGUGGAUGUGUGUCAAUUAAAAAGUCUCGUCUCAGUGAGUCGCGUGUUUAAUUUGCGGCACGUUCCCCACACACACUCACUAUCAAUUUAAUUAAAACGCCACAGACAGACCCAUAACUACCGCAAAACCAGCCAGCAAACCCACCUAACUGGGCCAAAAACUAAACACAAUAUUGCGACCAAGACCCAGCUAAACCGGCCAGAUCAGAAAGAGAUGAAGGCAUUGAUAAGAAAGAGAUAGAGAGCGGCCAAAACCUAGCCCCGAAAAUCAAUAAACUGAGUCCUUUAAGCACUGCGGUCAAAUGAAUCUGAGUACUUCAAAUUUUGCAUAACGGGUAAGUUGACAGCAAACCACCACGAAAUAUCAAAUGCAGAAUAUCGCUUAUAUCGCCCAUAAAUCCACAAAGGACAUUGAGACAGCCCUUCCACUCGGCUGCACUUGUCUCCGGGUCGAAUUUAUGUUUCGCCAGUGGAAAUGGAAAUGCAAUUAAGGCCUGCUUUUAAGAAACAUUUCCUUUUCGGCCAGCUUGCCAUCUGUAGCUUGUAGUUUGCAACUGCAUUUGGCAUCGUUAGAAUAAACAAACUUGCGAAUCAGCCGGGCGGAAAAUUAAUUUGGAAAUGUGAGAGGUGCCAUGUGGGCAAAUCAGUUUGGCAGGAUCAAUCAAAAUUAAUAUUCCUACUGCUGCUUUGUAGUGGUUUAGCAUUCCAUUUGAACUAAUACAGCUAUGCCAUCUGGUUUGGGCCAAAGGUGACAUUGCACCUCGUAGCGGUACGCCUCAGCGUGUUCUGGCUGAAAGAAAGGACUUUCAAUCAGAUGGCACUUCUUUUCCUGUGCAGCUCCGCCAAAAAUGAAGUUAAAGCCCUUUUUAUGGGGCCAACGUGCUGUUGGUUUUGUGCAUGUUGUUCGCGUGGCCGUGUUAUCCUUUGGAUGUUUGCCUCGGGCUGCUGAUGCAGCUAUCCUUUCGCCGAUCCUCCGGUUGUUUUAUUUGCCGCACAUCUUUGUUGACUGAGUGCAAGAGUGUAGCUAACGGGAACGAUGUCCGCGCGAGGAAUUUAAUUUGGCUGCAAAUUGCUGGCAGGAAACAUUGUUGGCCCGGGAAAUUUGUUUACGUUCUGAGCACUUUUUAAAUUAAUUUGUCAGUUGGCAGGAGUUCUUUAAGGCACACACACUCGGCUGAAGAAAUAUUUACUUUUCACUACAGCCUGGAUCUGCUUUAAAUUAAGAGCGGUGCACUGUAAAAUAUGAACAAUAGCUCGAGAGCCUGCAUAUGCCACAUGGAAUCCUUUAUUCUAAUCCGCAUGGGCGGCUUGACUUUUCUCCACAUUUCCAUGGCUGUUUGUUCAAGGAUGUCCUUUGCCUUCUUCGUGCUUGUGUGACCGUAAAAAGGACAUUCACAUCUGCAUAUAUGCAUGAGAAAUUUGGCAAAACUUUGCAACUAACCAUGGCAAAUGGAAGAAUGCUAGUAACGAAUCAAGCCAAAUAAGAGAUCAUCCGAUUACAUGGAAAAGAGGAGCACAGGGGCAGUUGGCCUUAAUUGUAUUAGAAAACGCACUGAAAUGCCGUAUGCAAAUAGCAAUAUUUUACCAGUUUGAAAGGAAAGGAGCCGCCGGCCAGUCACUUUUCGUUGUGAUCCUUUGAGCUGCACACAUCCUUAGCAGGAAAAAGUGGUCAUGCAUAUUGCAUAAUAAACAAGCCAGCACACAUGCAUUUAUUUAUUUCAAUGCGCAAACAAAGCCAGAUUUUUCACAAAACCAAAAACCAAAAACAUAAAACAGCAAAUACUGAAUAAGCCGAAAUGACGGACGAACUGGCUCAAGUAAAAGAUACAUUGGCCAGAUACAUUGGCAACAAGACAACAGCACUGGCAUAUGCUCAGAUUUCCUGUAACUUGGUUUUUGCUAUUUGCAUACAAAGCAUUCGACUUUUGUUCUAGAUGACAAAUAAAAUAAACGAUAUACACAUGUUCGGCCAUCUGUGGCUUUGAUUGGCCAGGUCCAUCCGACACAUACAGAUUCAGAUACUGGGACACUGAGUUCUCUACGUGACUGCGACACGACCAAUUAGUGUUGGCCGGUCCACGGACCGCCUGCUGCUGCCCGGCAUCCUGGAAAUCCUCUUCCUGGAACACGGCUCUCGGCAAAUUAAAGACUUAAAGCCCGUUCAAAUCCCCCUCUUCACGGAGGCCGUCUGUAAUUCAAAGCAGGCAUUGAAUUCAACACCUUUUAUGAAGAGCCCGGCGCAUGCACAUGCAUACAAAAUUCAAAGGACGAGAAGGAGUCCUGCCAUUGUGGCAGUGUGCUUGUUAUUUGAUGACUAUUUUAAGGACACUUUGCCGGCGUCGUUUUGCGCAAGUGCCAGUGCUCAAAGUGCUAAAAAAGACCUGAAAGCGAUGCUGGCACAUAGAGAAUAAAAUGAUAAGCAUAGUGCAGUAAGCCGAGUACGAAAAUUUGAUGAAAAACUGAGGAUAAUAAGCAACGAAGUAGGGAACACUGAAACCAUCGUUAAAACUAGGGAAAGCAUCCAAAUAUUGAAAAGAAGCAAGUAUCUAAAAACAGAAUUCUAUAUUUAAAACAUAAAUUUGGACUAUACUUCGACUAUGUAGAAAUGAGUUAAUUUACAUUUUAUAUUAUGCCGUUUGCGAAUUUAAAACCACUCAGUGUUGCCUUCACCUUUUUUUCGUUCGUCUGGAACCCCAAAUCAUAACCAAGAAUCAGAUUAAUUCGCCAGCUCGGCUUCAAUCAACGUCCUUGUGCGGAGCGAGGCAAAUAAAAUUUGCCAGCAGAAAACUCGAAUGACAGCGACAGACUUCAAAGUGAAUGAAAAUCGUAAGAAAACCCGAUGGGGAACUUCACAAAAUGUGGAGGAGAGCGGGCAGGCUAACAAGUAAACAACCAUUAUGCACUCCACAUAAACGUUGGGUUCUGUGGAAAGUGGAAAGUACGAUGCUAUCGAGAGGGUAAAUGGCAGUUGGGCAGUAUAAACACAUUUUACGGGCCCACUCGCCAAACCACCCAACACCCACCCCGCAACACAGCGAGAAAAAUAAACAAUUUCAUAAGAUAUGCGAAAAAGGGAAGAGCAGCGUUGGAAAAUAUCUGAAUAUAUAUCUGCGGGACCGGGAACGGGGACGGAGACGGGGAAAAGGACAACCGCAGGAGAAAAGCGGAAAAUGCAAAACAAACACAAAAUUCUCAGAUGGCACCAAAAAGGAAAAGAAGGCGACCCAGGCGACGAGACACUUUGCCGCCAACGCAAAAAAACCCCGGAAAAUGGGCGGGGGGAAACCAGAGGUGGACUCCGGGAACAGUACUGGUCACCAAGGAUAACGUAGAGUAUCCAGAACAAAGUUAAGUGAAUUAUUUUCAUAUAUAUCAAAGGCUAGAACAAAAUUACCUGCAGUACUUCUUAUAUAUGUUCUUAUCAAAUCAAAUGGGUUAUUGUAUGAAACAAAGCA